AUUGAACGCUGGCGGCAGGCCUAACACAUGCAAGUCGAGCGGAUGAAGGGAGCUUGCUCCUGGAUUCAGCGGCGGACGGGUGAGUAAUGCCUAGGAAUCUGCCUGGUAGUGGGGGAUAACGUCCGGAAACGGGCGCUAAUACCGCAUACGUCCUGAGGGAGAAAGUGGGGGAUCUUCGGACCUCACGCUAUCAGAUGAGCCUAGGUCGGAUUAGCUAGUUGGUGGGGUAAAGGCCUACCAAGGCGACGAUCCGUAACUGGUCUGAGAGGAUGAUCAGUCACACUGGAACUGAGACACGGUCCAGACUCCUACGGGAGGCAGCAGUGGGGAAUAUUGGACAAUGUGCGAAAGACUGAUACAGACAUGCCGCGUGUGUGAAGAAGGUCUUCGGAUUGUAAAGCACUUUAAGUUGGGAGGAAGGGCAGUAAGUUAAUACCUUGCUGUUUUGACGUUACCAACAGAAUAAGCACCGGCUAACUUCGUG
rnacentral:rRNA from 1 species